AGUAGAGACGGCGUUUCACCGUGUUAGCCAGGAUGGUCUCCAUCUCCUGACCUCGUGAUCCACCCGCCUCGGCCUCCCAAGGUGCUCGGAUUACAGGCGUGAGCCACCGCGCCCAGCCUAUCCUAGCCAUUCUGCCUCAUCACGCCCUGACACCCGGGUUCACUGUCCAUUUCCCCACCCACUACGCUGUGAAUGGCAGAUGGACCUGACAGCAGUAACUUAAGCAUACCCUGAAAAUGACCCUUUGGUCUAAGAAGAAAGUGUGUUUGGAGUCUUGAGCUAAGGAAUCUGGGAGUGGCCAACUAGGAGUCUCACUUCUUUUCUAUGAAGAGAUCUGAACCCCUGGCCUGUUGGUCCCUUGGAAUGCAGGCCGUACAGGGGAUCCAGGCCCUUUGUUGUGGCUUAAAUGGAGGUUGCUAGGUGGAGAGGGCUCCACAAAAAUUGCUAUAUAAAUUGCAUGCUUUUUACAAAUGAUAGUGUUUCUCCUGUCCAGGCCACUGCCACUGGAUCACUUUUGUAUCUAAGUCCUCAAUAAACUCCAUGUCUCAUUCACUGGCUCUGGGUCUCUUCUUCGGCCUCUUGGACAUGGUGCCAUUCUUAUUGGAGUCAAUA
rnacentral:lncRNA from 1 species